CCUACGGGAGGCUGCAGUGAGGAAUAUUGGUCAAUGGGCGCGAGCCUGAACCAGCCAAGUAGCGUGAAGGAUGACUGCCCUACGGGUUGUAAACUGCGUUUAUAAAGGAAUAAAGUGAGGCACGUGGGCCUUUUUGUAUGUACUUUAUGAAUAAGGAUCGGCUAACUCCGUGCCAGCAGCCGCGGUAAUACGGAGGAUCCGAGCGUUAUCCGGAUUUCUUGGGGUUAAAGGGAGCGUAGAUGGGUUUUUAAGUCCGUUGUGAAAGUUUGCGGCUCCACCGUAAAAUUGCAAUUGAUACGGGCAGUCUUGCGUACAGUUGCGGUAGGCGGCAUUCGUGGUGUAGCGGU
rnacentral:rRNA from 1 species